rnacentral:tRNA from 1 species
GGCGAGCGUAGCCAAGCGGUAAGGCAGUGGAUUGUGGUUCCACCAUUGGCGGGUUCGAUUCCCGUCGUUCGCC